UGUUGGAUGUUCUCCACAAUGAUAGGUCCCAAUCAGGCUAUGAAUAUUAUAGUGCAGAUAGUAUUCUACUUAGGGUGAGAAUGAACCGCAAGAGUGUUUAUUUAUAAAAUUAAGCUUGCCUCUUUACUGCUUUUGAAAGAGUUUAAAUACAAAGAAGAAAAUAACAACCACUCCUAAUUCUGAGAUCAUAUCUCUAAGAAUUAGGACAUGAUCAUAUUAUUGAAAUUCAAAUACUAACUGCUAGACCUAUUCUUAAGCAAGCAUGCUUAGUGGACAUAACUAACAACUUAGACAAAGUCAUUGGCAAACAUAACUUCUCUCUGCAUGUUUCUUGCACCUGGAAGUU